rfam:Dyadobacter psychrophilus strain DSM 22270 genome assembly, contig: LX75DRAFT_scaffold00014.14
UUGAGCCGUAUGAGCUGAAAGGUUCACGUACGGUUCUUAGAGGGGUUGGGGGCGGCAACGUCCCCCGCCUACUCGAC